UACAGAGGGGGCAAGCGUUGUUCGGAAUUACUGGGCGUAAAGGGCGCGUAGGCGGCCCUCUAAGUCGAACGUGAAAUCCCUGGGCUUAACCCAGGAACUGCGUCCGAUACUGGGAGGCUUGAAUUCGGAAGAGGGAUGCGGAAUUCCAGGUGUAGCGGUGAAAUGCGUAGAUAUCUGGAGGAACACCGGUGGCGAAGGCGGCAUCCUGGACCGAGAUUGACGCUGAGGCGCGAAAGCCAGGGGAGCAAACGGG
rnacentral:rRNA from 1 species